GUGAGUAGUUCAGAGUUUGAUCCUGGCUCAGGACGAACGCUGGCGGCGUGCCUAACACAUGCAAGUCGAACGGAGCAGAGACUUCGGUUUUUGCUUAGUGGCGAACGGGUGAGUAACGCGUGAGAAACCUGCCUUUCAGUGGGGGACAACAGUUGGAAACGACUGCUAAUACCGCAUAAUGUAACGAGAUCGCAUGGCCUUGUUACCAAAGCUUUAUGUGCUGAAAGAUGGUCUCGCGUCUGAUUAGCUAGUUGGUGAGGUAACGGCUCACCAAGGCGACGAUCAGUAGCCGGUCUGAGAGGAUGAACGGCCACAUUGGGACUGAGAUACGGCCCAG
rnacentral:rRNA from 1 species